UCAAGAUACAGUACAGAUAUCGAGGAAUAUGCAAAUUUCUGCGAGUAUCGAGUAAUCUCAAAAAGCGUGACUCCGAGUGGAUUAUAAAUUUCUCGGGUGAAAAAGAGUGACUCCGAGACAAAAACGAGUGACAAUUUUGUCCGCGGGACUCCGUGAAUCUCCGAGUCAAAAAGAGUGACUCCGAGAAAAUAAGACUGAUUUGAACAAUAUAGAACAGAGUUAAGAAGUUCGAUCUGCUAGGCAAUUCUACCGAUGUUGGCAGCACAAGAAAGGACAACAUUAAGGAAUUCAUUUAUGAAAUUCUACCGAUGUUUGCAGGGGGAAAACAACAGGCGCUGCGUCGUCUCAA